rnacentral:rRNA from 1 species
UACAGAGGAGCCAAGCGUUGUCCGGAUUGACUGGGCGUAAAGCGCACGCAGGCGGACGCGCGCGUGGGGUGUGAAAUCUGGCCGCUUAACGGCCAGGCGCCAUCCCAUACGGCACGACUGGAGGGCUGCAGAGGUCGAUGGAAUUGCCGGUGUAGUGGUGAAAUGCGUAGAGAUCGGCAGGAACACCCAGGGGGAAACCAGUCGACUGGGCAGCACCUGACGCUGAGGUGCGAGAGCGUGGGGAGCGAACCGG